ACGCUCGACACCUACGGCAGGCAGCAGUGGGGAAUAUUGCACAAUGGGGGAAACCCUGAUGCAGCGACGCCGCGUGAGCGAAGAAGUAUUUCGGUAUGUAAAGCUCUAUCAGCAGGGAAGAAACUGACGGUACCUGACUAAGAAGCACCGGCUAAAUACGUGCCAGCAGCCGCGGUAAUCUGAGCGGGCUGGCAAGGC
rnacentral:rRNA from 1 species